rnacentral:rRNA from 1 species
AACGAACGCUGGCGGCAUGCCUAACACAUGCAAGUCGAACGAGACCUUCGGGUCUAGUGGCGCACGGGUGCGUAACGCGUGGGAACCUGCCCUUAGGUUCGGAAUAACUCCCCGAAAGGGGUUCUAAUACCGGAUAAUGUCUUCGGACCAAAGAUUUUUCGCCUUUGGAUGGGCCCGCGUUGGAUUAGCUAGUUGGUUGGGUAAAAGCCUACCAAGGCGACGAUCCAUAGCUGGUCUGAGAGGAUGAUCAGCCACACUGGGACUGAGACACGGCCCAGACUCCUACGGGAGGCAGCAGUGGGGAAUAUUGGACAAGGGGCGAAAGCCUGAUCCAGCAAUGCCGCGUGAGUGAUGAAGGCCUUAGGGUUGUAAAGCUCUUUUACCCGGGAUGAUAAUGACAGUACCGGGAGAAUAAGCUCCGGCUAACUACGUG